GAAGAAAUGGCAAAUGGGCAUGUCCCCUGGUUGAAGUUUGAGGACUUGAAAGGAAGGAUGGGUAGGGCUCCAUUGAGAAGUAUCCAUAUGACAAAUUGCCAAAGCUUCAACUCUAUCUCCAUUUUCACCUUCCAAAUUAAUUUUCAACACAUUAUUAUCUCCUUCUUGGUAAUGACAAUAAUAAAUUGCAUAAGGAUAUGGCAUAGUGUGACAAGCCACAAGCUUAGGAGCAGCAAUUUCCAUAGGGGUAUCAAAGAUUGUGUAAUUUUGAAAAUGGACAUUGGAUUUUGUGAGAUGUGAAGUUUUGACAAGUUUAAAUGAUGAUAAUGAAGAAGAUUUUGUGGGAAUUAUUAAGGAUGUUCUUACAAAAUCCAACAUUGAUUCCAUGGAAGUUGCACAAAAUUUGGUCUCUCCUUUGAUGGGUUUGAGCUCACAUUGUUGGAGGGUUUCUUUGACUGCUUGAGCUUGAUGGGAAUCUGAAGGGAAGGAGAAAUAAGAGAGGAUUUGAGGGAGUUGUUUGAGGGAGAAAGGGAUUGAAUCAGCUUUUU
rnacentral:misc_RNA from 1 species